CCUACGGGAGGCAGCAGUGAGGAAUAUUGGUCAAUGGGCGGAAGCCUGAACCACCCAAGUAGCGUGCGGGAUGAAGGCCCUACGGGUCGUAAACCGCUUUUGCACGGGGAUAACACCCUCCACUUGUGGAGGUCUGCAGGUACCGUGCGAAUAAGGGCCGGCUAAUUCCGUGCCAGCAGCCGCGGUAAUACGGAAGGCCCGAGCGUUAUCCGGAUUCAUUGGGCUUAAAGGGAGCGUAGGCGGGCGUUCAAGUCAGCUGUAAAAUCGCGCGGCUCAACCGCGCCCCGCAGUUGAAACUGGACGCAUUGAGUUCACAACAGGCAGGCGGAAUUCGUGGUGUAGCGGUGAAAUGCAUAGAUAUCACGAGGAACCCCGAUUGCGAAGGCAGCCUGCCGGGGUGCGACUGACGCUGAGGCUCGAAGGUGCGGGCAUCAAACAGGAUUAGAUACCCCAGUAGUC
rnacentral:rRNA from 1 species